UACGUAGGCAGCAAGCGUUGUUCGGAGUUACUGGGCGUAAAGAGUAUGUAGGCGGUUGCGUAAGUUCGGUGCGAAAUCUCCCGGCUUAACUGGGAGGGUGCGCCGAAAACUGCGUGGCUUGAGUGCGGGAGAGGAGAGCGGAAUUCCUGGUGUAGCGGUGAAAUGCGUAGAUAUCAGGAGGAACACCGGCGGUGUAGACGGCUCUCUGGACCGUAACUGACGCUGAGAUACGAAAGCGUGGGUAGCAAACAGG
rnacentral:rRNA from 1 species